GCUAGAAUAUUAAUGAAACAGUAUGUGGGAUAGAAAGGUGGGCUUAAAGUUUAAAUGGAGUGAACACAAGAAGUCUCUGGAGCCGGCUCAACCAGAACUUAACGUCUGAAAUACUCAGCCAAGGGUAGUCCUAAAACUGCCGAAUGAAGGAAUCUUCAAGCCUACUACACAAUCAGUCAAUGACAUACAGAGUUUCAGAGACAACAAGGGACUCUACAUCAGGGAUAAAGUGCCAAUUCAGGUAAAAGAAGAGAGUAGAUCUUAUGUAUGUGAAAUCCAGUAAAGUAUUUGCAGUGCUACAUUGGAAAUUAGCUAAGAUGGAGAAGAUGGGGGUCAUUGUAAGACCAAUACAACUACAACCUGGAUACCCAACACAUG